rnacentral:rRNA from 1 species
UGAGCGGCAAAGCUCAAAUUUGAAAUCUGGCACCUUCGGCGUUAGAGUAGUAAUUUGAAAUAAUAACCUUGGGGUGGCUCUUGUCUAAGUUCCUUGGAAAGGACGUCAUAAAGGGUGAGAAUCCCGUCUGACGAGAACCCAUUUCUAUUUUGGUGCCCCGAAAAAUCGAGUUGUUUG